rnacentral:rRNA from 1 species
UAAGGAAUAUUGCGCAAUGGGGGAAACCCUGACGCAGCAACGCCGCGUGGAGGAUGACACUUUUCGGAGCGUAAACUCCUUUUAUCAGGAAAGAAUAAUGACGGUACCUGAUGAAUAAGCACCGGCUAACUCCGUGCCAGCAGCCGCGGUAAUACGGGGGGUGCAAGCGUUACUCGGAAUCACUGGGCGGAAAGGACGCGUAGGCGGAUUAUCAAGUCUUUUGUGAAAUCUAGUGGCUUAACCACUAAACUGCUUAGGAAACUGAUAGUCUAGAGUAGGGGAGAGGUAGAUGGAAUUCUUGGUGUAGGGGUAAAAUCCGUAGAGAUCAAGGAGAAUACCCAUUGCGAAAGCGAUCUGCUGGAACCUACCUGACGCUGAGGCGUGAAAGCGUGGGUAGCAAACAGG